CAGCCGCCGCGGUAAUACGUAGGUGGCAAGCGUUGUCCGGAAUUAUUGGGCGUAAAGGGCUCGCGGGCGGUUUCUUAAGUCUGAUGUGAAAGCCCCCGGCUCAACCGGGGAGGGUCAUUGGAAACUGGGAAACUUGAGUGCAGAAGAGGAGAGUGGAAUUCCACGUGUAGCGGUGAAAUGCGUAGAGAUGUGGAGGAACACCAGUGGCGAAGGCGACUCUCUGGUCUGUAACUGACGCUGAGGAGCGAAAGCGUGGGGAGCGAACAGGAUUAGAUACCCCGGUAGUCCCUGUCUCUUAUAC
rnacentral:rRNA from 1 species